rnacentral:tRNA from 1 species
GGGGGUCUAGCUCAGUGGUAGAGCGCUUGCCUAGGAAGCGCAAGGCCCUGGGUUCGGUCCCCAGCUCCA